rnacentral:rRNA from 1 species
UCAGGAUGAACGCUAGCGGCAGGCUUAAUACAUGCAAGUCGAACGGGAUUCGAGAUAGCAAUAUUUGAUGAGAGUGGCGCACGGGUGCGUAACACGUAUGCAACCUACCUUUAACUGGUGAAUAGCCCCGGGAAAUCGGGAUUAAUACACCAUAACAUUACGUGAAAGGCAUCUUUUGGCAAUUAAAGAACUCGGUUAGAGAUGGGCAUGCGGGACAUUAGCUAGUUGGUGAGGUAACGGCUCACCAAGGCGACGAUGUCUAGGGGUCCCUGAGAGGGUUAUCCCCCCACACUGGUACUGAGACACGGGACCAGACUCCUACGGGAGGCAGCAGUAAGGAAUAUUGGUCAAUGGGCGCAGGCCUGAACCAGCCAUGCCGCGUGCAGGAAGACGGCCCUAUGGGUUGUAAACUGCUUUUUGUCAGGGAAUAAAUGUAGGUACGUGUACUUACUUGAAGGUACCUGAAGAAUAAGCAUCGGCUAACUCCGUGCCAGCCGCCGC